GCCUUCGUGAAGGAGGAAUCGCUAGUAAUUGCAGGUCAGCAUACUGCAGUGAAUUCGUUCCCGGGCCUUGUACACACCGCCCGUCACACCAUGGAAGUUGGUCACGCCCGAAGUCGUUACCCCAACCGCAAGGAGGGGGAUGCCUAAGGUAGGACUGAUGACUGGGGUGAAGUCGUAACAAGGUAGCCGUACCGGAAGGUGUGGCUGGAUCACCUCCUUU
rnacentral:rRNA from 1 species